rnacentral:tRNA from 1 species
AGGCUAUUAACUCAAAAGGUAAAACAAAGUACAAUAUUGCACAUAGUGUGGGUUCAAGCCCCACAUAGCCUA